UGCAGAGCUGCUCCGCAGGCCGCUCUCCGCCUGGGAGGCGCGGGCCGCGCUUGCCUGGUGGCUGUGCGCUCUUCAGUUGCGCUGCUCGGCCUCAGGACACUUCUAGAAGGAAAAUUGAUUCUUCAUUUCGCUUCAGACGAAAGGAGCUAAAAAGUCUGCCAACUUAAAGAACUCGGACUCUCUUAGGGUGUACCACGUGACCUGUCGCAUUGCGCUCCGAGAUAUUCUGGAAAUGCUACUAAAGGAUCCAUUUAAAACCCCUGGAACACAAGUGUUAGUGCUGUUUCUGUUGUUACUGUGAAUGGCUCCUGGUAAAUAGGCCAUGGGUGAAGAGACCAUGCUUAUCAAGAAGAACAGGCAUCUCUAAGCAGAGACUUUGCUCCAAAGAGUUGCAGAAGUUGCUGGGGAGGCCAUACCAGUGGGAUGUGGAAAAGAUAGCUUUGACUACGUUGGAAGCGCCGAGAGCCAGAGGUUCCGAUAAAGGAAACACCUUUCUGAUCUGAUAUCGAAGAGUAUGGUGGAUGUGCUUCUAAUGACAAUCUAGUGGUGGGGGAAGCAGCCGAGAGAAGUCGGUAGCCCAGUUUUCCAGUCAUGCCAAGACAGGAAGAGGAGGACUAGCUACCGAGAUUCCCUUGAGAGUGGAGAAAGAGGAAGAGAAUCCUGAUGGGAGAAUCCUGAUGGGAGGAUUAGCCCAACCCCAAGAUCACUAUAUGGGUAUUGUAAUUGGGGAAACAGAAAGCUGACAGAAGAUUAAAGCUUUGUGUGAAAUAAAGGGUCUUUCUGAUCCGUCCUGAGUAGGAGG
rnacentral:lncRNA from 1 species